CCUACGGGUGGCAGCAGUGGGGAAUAUUGGGCAAUGGACGCAAGUCUGACCCAGCCAAGCCGCGUGAAGGAAGACGGCUCUCGGGUUGUUAACUUCCUUUUAGGGGGAAGAGCAGAAGACGGUACCCCUUGAAUAAGCUACGGCUAACUACGUGCCAGCAGCCGCGGUAAUACGGAGGUGGCAAGCGUUGUCCGGAUUUACUGGGUGUAAAGGGCGUGCAGCCGGAGUGACAAGUCAGAUGUGAAAUCCACGGGCUCAACCCGUGAACUGCAGUUGAAACUGUUUCCCUUGAGUGUCGGCAAGGUAAUCGGAAUUCCUGGUGUAGCGGUGAAAUGCGUAGAUAUAAGGAAGAACACCAGUGGCGAAGGCGGAUUACUGGACGGUAACUGACGGUGAGGCGCGAAAGCGUGGGGAGCAAACAGGAUUAGAUACCCCAGUAGUC
rnacentral:rRNA from 1 species